rnacentral:misc_RNA from 1 species
GAACUUUAAACAUGGCUGCAGCCUGCAGUAGAAAAAAAUUUGCUAAUAUUCAGUAAACAUAGGAAAAUUUUGAGUACAAUUUUGCAUAUAAUUCAUUUUAAGUCCACAUAACCAUGCAUAUCUCUUUGCCACCAUGAACUUUAUAGUGAUGAUGCUUCACUAUAAAGGAACUCAGAUCUAUACUUUCUUCUGAUAAUCUAGACAAUGAAAUACUUGAAUCUAGUAGAAAAUCAGCACAUUCAUAACAUCACACAAAUCUACUAGCAAUUUACUCACCAAGGGUUCAGCCUGAACAAUACCCAGGACAUGUUAUGCAGAGACUAGCAGACUCAUACAUUAGGUAGACGUCACAAAGUUUAAUCAUUAGCUUGAGUGACAAUGUCCAUUUAGUUGAUUUAUGAGAAAGGCCAAAAAAAAUAAUGAUAAGAAUCACUCUCCCAAGUAAUUUUAAUCCAAAUAGAAGAUGCAAUGGGGAGAUUCGCUAUUAUUAAGCUAUUGCAU